UACGGAGGGUGCAAGCGUUAUCCGGAUUCACUGGGUUUAAAGGGUGCGUAGGUGGGCUGGUAAGUCAGUGGUGAAAUCUCCAGGCUUAACUUGGAAACUGCCAUUGAUACUAUCAGUCUUGAAUACCGUGGAGGUCAGCGGAAUAUGUCAUGUAGCGGUGAAAUGCUUAGAUAUGACAUAGAACACCAAUUGCGAAGGCAGCUGGCUACACGAAUAUUGACACUGAUGCACGAAGGCGUGGGGAUCAAACAGG
rnacentral:rRNA from 1 species